rnacentral:pre_miRNA from 1 species
UACAUACUCCCUCCGUUCCAAAAUUCUUGUCUUAAAUUUUUCUAAAUACGGAUGUAUCUAGUUACAUUUUAGUGUUAGAUACAUCCGUAUCUAGACAAAUUUAAGACAAGAAUUUUGGGACGGAGGGAGUAUAAA